rnacentral:lncRNA from 1 species
GUACGUUUCGCAGGUUUACUAAGCUUUGAUGUAUUCUGGGCCGGUUGCUCAUGCCUGCUAGAGCGCUGUAUAGAGGCGUACAGAUACAUCGAGGCUGUUCGAACCCUAUACUUGGUACAUAAAUAGAGAUUUUUUUUUUGUCUAGACCAGUUCGUAAACUUCUAACAGUAACUGUUCCACAUCGUGUACUUAGUAUCGCCACAGACAUCAUCUACGUUCUAACACUAGAGACCAAAUGAACGAUAAUCGCCGUGAGAACUUGUAGAGUCCUCUUCGAUCAAACAGUAUUAUUCUGAAGAGAAACUACGAUACUAAAACUUCGUCAUACGUUUUCAUUAUACAGUAACAUGUUUAUGUCGCAUUGAUAAGUGUAGUCCUUACCGAUACAAACGACAGCAUAAGCUUGUAGGUAUAGAAUAGGGAUCCAAGUUUUGCUGUCUUGCUAUAAACAAGAAAGCGCAACUAGUUUAUAAAGUGAAGGUUCUGAACAUCAAUAAAGUUUUUCAAAGAAAUAAGCAUGUGGAUAAGACAUUUUUGUAAGAUAUGAUUACGAUAUUUCCUCCUUGUCUAGCUGAGAUGUGGAGAAUUAAAAUUUGAAUUGGAAUGCGGAACAGUAUAGUAACCAUGAAUGGCUUCCAGAAAGGAUGGCGGGGCACUACAGUGCCCCAGAUAUAAGGUGACAAUUAUAAAAUGUGGUUCAAAUUAUAACGAAUAUUUGUUAGGAAAACACAAUGCAGCAGGCUCUCGAAAUUGAUAGUGUGUUGGAAGUAAGAAUUCUCGCCCGUGUGUGGAUUUUGUGCGAAUUUUAUUAUGUACAAAUAAUUGGAUAUGAGGAAUAUAAUUCUAUAUUGAUCCCUGCUUGGCCUUUAAGAAAAAAGUUGCGUCUUAUUGGUCAAAUAAUAAGGGCAACCGUGCUCAGAAUUGACACUGGGAAAAAAAUUGUUGACAUGGUUGAUAACUGCGAUCGAUAAGAAAGACUAUUCAUAUUUUAAUUUCCUUUAAUAUAGUAAAUAAACUUCAGUGCUUCGAAGAGAACGUCAAACACCGAUGUUUCAAAAUAGCUGCAGAUCCCUAAUAAUUAUUGUAAUGCAGCGUUCAUUUUUUGCUGACCAGUAAGGUGUUUGUGUCUGUGUACAGUUUACAAAAUAAUUCCAUGAAGUUUACCUACUUAUUUUAAAUAGAUACACAUAUUCGAUCGUCACUAAGCUAGUUAAACAUAUUAUUAUUGGUAUAAAAGGUACAUUCAUGACGUUGCGUACCUUACUGCACCUUACUACCUUAUUGAUUAGAUGAUUCUAUGCUUCGAAAGGCACGUUUAACUGUUGGUGCCGGCCUCUAGGCGGAAGACCACCUCCACAAACCCGUUAUUUAAGGUGUACCCAACAGUAGUGGGACGUAAAUAGGAUGUUUAUAUUAUGUAUUGUAUGGAUAACGUCAUUUUUUAUUAGAUCUAUACAAAUAAAAUAUUUUGUGAACUGUACUGGGUUUCCGUCAGCGGCGGCGGUCUUAUUGAACUGAUGCGCUUCAAGUUACUUAUCGAUAAAUGAUUUCGAAAUGAAAUAUAAUAUUUUUGUUUUUCACACUUUGCGAAAAUUGCUGUGUAAGUACAGAAAUAACAAACAUUUUACAUGAGCAUAAAAAAUAGUUUUUACAAGGUUUGGAAUAGACGUACAUUACUUAACGUAAAUAAAAAUACUAAGAUAUUUAAAGGUACCUCAUUGAGGUUUUAGAAAAAUGUUGUCAACUCCUGAUGACUGUUGUGCAACUUGCUACCAUAAAAACCCUAAACUUAUGUGUAAGUUACCAUAAUUAUUUUUCGACGUGAUUGAAUCGCUCGCGAGUGCUAAGUGGUACGUGCCCCAUCUUCGACGCCCCAUCACCACCCCGCUGCUGCUGUCCACGAAUUAGUGACAGUGCAGAGUCGCCCUGCUGUUUCCCGCUCCAUCCUACCGCCGCGCCGUCUGAGCUGAUUUUUUUGUUUGAUACAUGAGGAUUCGAGCAACACAAAUAAUGUUCGUAAGUUUUCAUUUAAUUUUCGGAUCAGAUUCUCUCUUGAUAACUUGAUGAUAAUGACAGACGCCAAUUUGAAGUUAUUGUUUUUUUUACCUAGAUCACAAUAAAUCCUACUAGCAUCGCUUGUUUUCGUACCAAUCCGGGUCGGAAUGGAUCUAGUGACUAUUAAGCUAUUUUGUGACUUCUAGAGACAUUUUAAGAUCCAUUCAUUUUUAAACAUUAUUUACUUAUUGUUAUUUCAGGUCGGACUCUGAAUAUUAUUCUAAAACAUCCAACAAAUCCGCCGGUCGAGGAUUUGUUGACUCGGAGGACGAGAUAGCUUUUAGCAGAAAUAAAUCAAGAUCUAUCGGUUCGAGAAACUCCGCCGCAAAGCGUGCGGAUUCGGACGUAGAGAUACCAAGGCAGAAGAAAAAGGAAAGCAAGCUCAGUUCAUCUGCCAAGCGCACAGCAGUGGAAUCUGACGGAGAGACACCGAGGGCUAAGAAAAAGCUGGUUCCAAAG